rnacentral:misc_RNA from 1 species
AACGCACAUUGCGCCCCUGGGUAUUCCUGGGGGCAUGCCUGUUCGAGCGUCAUUUCAACCCUCAAGCUUAGCUUGGUCUUGGGCCAUGCCGGGAACGGCCGGCCUUAAAACUAGUGGCGGUGCCGCCGGGCUCUACGCGUAGUAGUUAUUUUCUCGCGUUUGGGUUUCGGUGGUCGCUGGCCAGCAACCCCCAAUUUUCUAUGGUUGACCUCGGAUCAGGUAGGGAUACCCGCUGAACUUAA